GGGCCCAUAGCUUAGUCCGGUGGAGCGAUCGUCUUAUAAGCGAUAGGUCGCAAGUUCAAAUCUUGCUGGGCCCA
rnacentral:tRNA from 1 species